CCCUUAGAUGUUCUGGGCUGCACGCGCGCUACACUGAAGCUAUCAACACGUUUUCCCUCCCUGAGAAGGGCGGGUAACCUUUUGAAUCAGCUUCGUGGUAGGGAUCGGGGCUUGCAAUUGUUCCCCGUGAACCAGGAAUUCCUAGUAAACGCGAGUCAUAAGCUCGCAUCGAUUAAGUCCCUGCCCUUUGUACACACCGCCCGUCGCUACUACCGAUUGAACGUUUUAGUGAGGCAUUUGGACCGACGCAUCUCAGUUUAACCGCUGGUUUGUGUUGGAAAGACUUCCAAACUUGAGCGUUUAGAGGAAGUAAAAGUCGUAACA
rnacentral:rRNA from 1 species